UGGGUUUUGCUAUUUGCAUUUAGCGUCAAGAUCCCCUGCUGUGAAUUCAACUGCACGCGGACAUAUGAAGCUUAUCAUCACCUUCAGCAGGAACGGUUGAGUCCUCUGGAGCGAGCUCAUCUGCCGGAGAAUCUGCAUAUGAGAUAAAAGUUCCAUCUGAUGAAGUUGAAAAAGGCGAAUCAACCUGUUCCACACCAGAGCCAGAGCCGCUGCGUCUGCUCUCCAAUCCGAGCACGGUUCGCAGCCGCCGGCUUUCUCCAGAGGACCGCUCAUGAUGCGUCUCCACCACGAACGACGGAACGCGUGUGAAUAAUCCGCUGGAGAUUGCGGGAGAAUCCAGCUCCAGAAGCCGAAGGUCUGUUCGGAUGGUGAGGAGCGAGCGGGCGGUCGAGCAUCCAUGCGCCUCGGCGGACUGUUGCGAAAGACGUGGACUGUGAUCACGGCAUUUGAAUUUGGAGACCGAAGCUGCGGAUCCGCGGAGACGUCAGGGUGACCCCGUUUUGCCCAAACAGAAUGGCAAGGAUGUAAUACUGACAGGCGGCAAUAAAGGACUCGGCUAUGAGACGGUCAGACAGCUGACGAAUCUGGGAGUUUAUGUCAUAAUAGCCUCACAUGAUGAAGCGGAGGGUCUGGCCGCUGUGAAGAAGAUUUGUGAGGAGGACAGUGAAGCUCAGCUGAACUGAUGAUGUUACAGUCACCAAGACCAUCACCACACGUGCAAACCAAAAGCCGUGGCUGACAGCAGAGGUUCAUGGCCUGCUAAAGACCAGAGAUGAAGCAUUCAGAUCAGGAGACAAAGCAGCCCUCAAAACAGCAAGAGCCAAUCUGUCCUGUGGCAUCAAAAAUGCAAAACGGUCAUAUGCUCAAAAAAUCAACAAUCACUUCACAGACAGCAGAGACACACGGAGCCUGUGGCAAGCCAUUCAGACCAUCACAGACUACAAGCCCCCGCCACAGGCCUGUGAUGACGACACAUCCCUCCCGGAUGCACUCAACCACUUUUAUUCACGGUUUGAAAUGCAGAAUGACACACCUGCACAAAAACUGCCCAUACCUCCCAACGACCAGGUGCUCUGUCUGUCUCCAGCCGACGUAAGGAAGACCCUAUCUAGGAUUAACCCACGCAAGGCUGCUGGACCUGACGACAUACCUGGCCAUGUACUGAAAGACUGUGCUGCACAGCUGACAGAAGUCCUAACAGAUAUCUUCAACACCUCGCUGAGCCAGACAGUCGUCCCCACGUGUCUCAAAUCCACAACCGGUACCAAAAAAAUCACCUGUGUCCUGUCUAAACGACUACCGUCCCAUAGCGCUGCCUCCAAUCGUGAUGAAGUGCUUUGAGAGACUCCAGCUGAAGGUGCGGCUGCUGUUUCUCUGGAUCUGGAAGGAGUUGGUGGAUGUUGGGUGUGUGAAGGUCAGCAGGUCCAGUCCUCAGCAGCGUCUUACGAUGAAGAUCUUCAUGCUGGACUCUGGAGAAACACCUGCGAUCUGCUGGGCCUCCAGGACUCACGCUUUGUUUAACAGAGUUCCUUCACGUUUGUAAACCGGACUAACAUCAGCGGAACUGAAGGUGGACGUCGAUCAGAUGCAGCGCAAAUGAACGAUUGACAAUCUCAUACCGGAGAACUGUGACCGACGGAGGAAAUCGAUGAAGAGUCAUGUAGCUCCUCUGUCCUAUUAUCUCUGGUUCUUCUGAAGGGCUCGGCGCUGUUGAAGGAUCUUCCCUCACUGUGAGUGUUUCUGUCAUGUGACCUUCCAGACGGUACAAAAAAAAGCUUCUUUCCACCAAAAUUUCCUGCAAAGUGCUGCUGUAGUUCAUUCUCUUCACACAAACCUCUGCUGCGUUUGCUCGAGCUCCCGCUCUCUAUUAUUAACCAAUAACAAACACUCAUUUUACCUUCUUGAAAGUCAACAUGACGGACUCAUUUACAUAUAAACAUGCUCUUAUUGUGAAUGAUUCAUCAGUGCACGUUAUUUCAAGUAAAUAAUGUCUGUCUUUGUAAUUGUUCAGCUCCAGCUAACAUAGAACGUUCCCAUAACAUUUUUUAAAGGUUAUGCAAAUGUCAUGACAGACAUUAAUAAAAUAAUGUUUAUGGAACGUCCUGAUAAUGUUUUUAAUAUUUGUUCUCAUAAUGUUGAGAGAAGUCUUCAGAACUUCAUGUUCAAUAACAUUCAUCAGUAACAACAACCGAAGAUUUCAUAGUGUUUUCAAAAUGAUAACAUGGACUGUUCCUCUAACGUUUGCAUAACCAAGAAAUGUUCUUAAUACAUAAACAAACAAACAAACUGGAUGUUUUGAACGUUUAUAAACAUUCAGAAGUAGUUUUCAUAACAGUUUCAAAAUGAUCAAAUGGAAUGUUUCUCUAACAUUUGCAAACCCAAGAAAAAAAGUCCUUUAACUAUAAAAAAAGAGAACAUUUAAAGGGGUCAUAGGAUGUUGCUAAAAAGAACAUUAUUUGGUGUAUUUGGUGUAAUGAAAUGUGUUUAUGCGGUUUAAGGUUAAAAAAAACACAUUAUUUUCCACAUACUGUACAUUAUUGUUUCUCGUCUAUGCCCCGCCUUCUGAAACGCUUCGAUUUUCACAAAGCUCAUCUCUCUGAAAAGCGAGGUGUGCUCUGAUUGGCCAGCUAUCCAGCGCAUUGUGAUUGGCCGAAUGCCUCAAGCGUGAGACGGAAAUUUUAUGCCCCUUAACAUAUUGUAUUAGCCUGUCCGGCCGGAGCGACGAGACAUAAACAUAAAACCCAUUAUAAACGUGAUAUAAACAUGAUUUCUAGUCGUGUUUUAUUUUGGAAGGCCAAACAAAGUAGUUUCGAUUUCUCAAUGAAACAGCAUCACACACGCCUUGAGUGAGAGGCGGGCGGCUUGAGGUGGAUUCUACGAAGGAGCGUACCUUGGUCGAUUUGGCGAUCCAUAGUUCAAAGUUGAUGUAUUUCCUCAG
ensembl:lncRNA